UACGUAGGGUGCAAGCGUUAAUCGGAAUUACUGGGCGUAAAGCGUGCGCAGGCGGUUUUGUAAGACUGUCGUAAAAUCCCCGGGCUUAACCUGGGAAUGGCGAUGGUGACUGCAAGGCUAGAGUUUGGCAGAGGGGGGUAGAAUUCCACGUGUAGCAGUGAAAUGCGUAGAGAUGUGGAGGAACACCGAUGGCGAAGGCAGCCCCCUGGGUCAAGACUGACGCUCAUGCACGAAAGCGUGGGGAGCAAACAGG
rnacentral:rRNA from 1 species